AUUAGCAUUAUAUUUUGCCUCCUAAGCUUUUAUUUUCCUUGUACAUCAUCCUUUGCAUUCAGUGCUGCUCUUUCAUUUUCAACAGUUACAAAAAGAUUCUUUUUUUUCUGGGUCCCUGGGUGUUAAGGACAUUGCUCCUGCAGAUACCUUCUUAUGUUCUUUCAGUUCAGGGCAUAUAUAUAUUUACAGUUAUUAUUGCACCUUCUUAUAUACGGAUCAUCAAUCUUUAUUUUUAAUUAAAUUUUUUUUUUUUUGUUGUACCCCAAAGGUUGUAUAGUAACCUCUAAACUAGGUUAAGAGCUCAAAUAUUAUUUUUUGAUCUAGAGAAGUAACUUUCAACCUUCUUAUUCUAGAUAUGGAUUAUAUUAUUGCUGUGAUAAUUACUUUCCAAUUUAUGAUGAUCCAACGAUAUGUUUGUCUUGUAACCUUUAAUUAAUGUUGGUCAUAACACUUGAUCUAUAGGUCAGACUGAGCUGAGUUUUGCAGAGGGAAAUUUAGAUAAUACUAUAACCUUGAGUAUCAGAUUUGAGCAGGUUUGGAUAUAGUAAGGUGUUAAACACUGGAUGUCUUGCCCUGGAACUCACCUGGUCUGAGUUUAGUAAUGAAGAAGCUGUUUUAACCCUUUUGCUGUCGAGACCCCUGCUCACAAACUUGCUCUUGGUGUCAAAGAAUUUUCAGGAAAAAAAAAAAAACUAAAAUUUCUUAUGAAAUGAUAGAGAACCUUUUCAUGGUGGUAAGGAAACCAAAACUGCAAAAUUUAAGGGGAAACUUGUGGAAUUACACAUUAUCGAUUUUGCCCACUUUGAGCCCUAUUUUCGGCCAAUUCCAUUGUUCCAGUCGACCAAACUCAUGGCUAUUUCGCUAGAACUACUUUUGUUCUAUCGAUUGAGUAAAGAAGCCGCCUAUUUACCAAUUUCAACUACCCAAUAAAGUGAUCAGAAAUUGGUAAUUUGGCCAAUUUCAUAAACGAUUGAAGGAAGGCCAUUUUCAAAAUAGGGUCCAGAGUAAACUGUGUAAAUAUUCCUAGCACUAAAAUAACAUUUUCUCUGUUCAUUAGUCACAUCUCCAGGCCCCUCUAUUACACUUGCAUUCCUUUUUGAAUUUUUAUUCACACAAAAAAUAAAAGAUUUACUGCUUUGCAGUAAUGGUAUUGGACAUGUGACGUGAUUUGUUUGCUCAUGAACAUCAGCAAAAAUUGAACAUUUCCGCUACUUUGAGCUCAAUUUGAAGGUAAUUUUAGUCCCUAAACCAUUCUGUAAUUUAUCUUCCAUUCUGUCAAAUGAGACCAAAAAAAUGAGAAUACAACCAUAAAUACCAUAUGAAAAUGCACUGCAAAGUCGCUGUUGUAAAUGAAAAACACUGUCGGAUUUUUUUUUUCUCAUGCACUGCGUGCUGCAGGAUAUUUUUAAUACUGUGCACACAGACCAUUCAGACCCAUUCUCUCAUAUGUAGGCCUACCAGCUUUCUCCUGCAAGAUUAGAAGUCGCUAGAAUUUUGGCGUACUAUUACGGGACUGACACUGGAUUCCAAACCGUAAUGUUACAGGACUAACAGUGAAAGGGUUAAAAUGAAGUAUCUCUUGUUUGUGGUCAUCCUCUUUCGAGUGCUGUCAGUUUUGGGAAGAUACUCACUCGACUGAGAGCUGGACAAAUGAGAGACUUUUGGCCAUCUUGUAGAGAAAUACCUAGUGCCAUCAAAUAUUGAUUGAUUGAUUAUUGCCUACAAGUAUUGAUUGAUUGAUUUUUGUACUUAUCAAAGAAGAGGUUGACUCCAUUUUCACCCUGUACUUCAAAUCCUUGAUGACCUCAUCGUGGCUGUUUUCUUAAGUCUCACUUUCAGUGCAGACUGACUUAACUAAUUACACCAAUUUUUUUACUUGAUGUCAGCCCCCUUUUUCCUUCCAUGGGGCAUUGAAAGUCCUAUAUGGGUUUAGCUUUUUUUUUUUUUGGUGACUAAUAAUAAUACUCUUUUCAAUACAGUUUUGAAUGUGCUUGAUAAAAAUGUUGAAUUAGUUUUGUCCAAGUGUACAGUGGUUCCUGAAAUUGACCAAGUUUUUCUUUUUAUCUAAAUGUCAGUUAACCCAAUUUUUAUUUGGGUCCUUGUUUUAUUUUCAGUUUAGUCAAAUAGUGUUUUAUAUGCAAACUUUUGUUCUAUAUUAAAUAUGUUACUUUAGUUACAUAUUAAAUAUAGAACAAAAGUUAUAAAAGUGUGUGUUUUGUGUUCAUCACUUGCUAUGUUGUUUACUGCAGCUGUGUCUGUGUUUUGAGGUGACAAAAGUGAUAUCAACAAAAAAGCAGAUGGAUUUAAGAUGUUUGGUGACAUUGGUAUUCACUGAUAUAAAGUAGGAAUAGGAGUGGGCUCAGGAUUCAACUUUGAGGAACACCGAUAUUUAUAAGUAAAGUUGAAGAUGUUAUAAUGGUUACAUAUUGGUGUCUGUCAUUAAGUACUGCAAGGAAAGAAGCUCCAGUUACCAGCCUAGAACAACGACUGCAAGUUUUUCCUGGUGCUGCCUCACCCUUGUAAUAAAGCAGCUGGCAACAUAGUGCUUUAUCAUUCAUUUUUUUUUUGGGGUGACCUAAUUGCUCUUUAAUUUAUAUGGAACUUGCAUAAUUCUUUGAAAGAAUCAAUUUCUAAUGUAUAAAGUUGAACAAGAAGAGCCACUUGGUGUGUGUUAACACUCCCAUAAAAUUAAGACUGUAUUUGAAUGAGAAUGUUGGAGUUGUAAUUUUUUUUUUUUUUUUUUAUACCUGUAAAGAAACAGUCAUUUUUAUUUUUGGUUAUAAAAGAUUUAAAAUAUAACCACAAGUGUUUAAACAGAUUCCAUGAAACAUAUGAGCACUGUCACUAAAUCAAAAUAUCUUGUGUGUUAGCAUAGUUCAACUGGUUGGUUUGUAAUUUUGGUUGUGUUUUAUAUAUUUUUUUUCAUUUAUAUUUAAAGUACAGUGAUUUUUUAUAAUUUAACCCUUGGGUUUAGUACUUGCUUUGAUUAUAAUAUUUAAUAUUAAUGCACAAGCUGGAAUGAGGGGGAUUUUGAUGUGAUGCAUAUGUAGUUAGCAAGAGCAAAUGGUGCUCAUGCAUUAAUAGCACAUAAAGUUGUACAAAAAAAAAAAUCACCUUAAAAAGAACUUUACUCAGUUGAACAUUGAAUACACUUAAACUGACAUUGAUGAAGUGCUACUUGAUGGGGAAGCUCGCACAAGAGUAACAUGUUGGAAAUGAUACUACUAUUUUGUUUCAGUGAAUACCAGUGAAAACCAAAUUGUUAAUAUUACUAGCCUGAAAAUAUUUGUUUUGUAAAUUUACAUCUUAGAAUCAUAAGCACCGUUUCUUCAAUGACCAGGUAUAUGUAUGUCAGGUUUAAAAUUCAAACAGUGUAGGAUUAGAAUGCAUUAGCAUACAAUUUCCUAAACCUAUGUAAUUUUUUUUUUUUGUAUUGUAAGUUUAUUUCAAAUCUUCAUCUUUCAUAUUUUGAGUGAAUGUGGCAUUAGACAGUUACAGUUUGUAAUAAGAUGUUUAGCUUAAUUCAGAAUGCUCUGAGAGAAGUGAUCGCAUAUACUGUAACACCAUAUUUGAAGUGCUGCAUUUAGACUAUGCACAUCUUGUUACAAAUCAGUAAUUAAGACUUAAGUUGAUUUUGUUAAAGAACAUUUGCACAUUGAGGCAGAUUGAUGUCCUGUUUUUGAGGGCAUAGAAGACUUCCAGUAUGCACUUUUCAAAUUUAAUAUAUGCCUUUUAUUUAGUUAGCUUUUAUGAUAGGCAGUGGACAUAGCAAUUUAUUGUACUGUAUAAAUACCCCUUUAUACUUUUGUUUUGGUACUCGGUGACGUCAGGAGAACAUUGUGAAGAUGGAAAAUAUUUUGUAUUUUGCAAUCUGUAUCUUUUCAUUUAGCAGUUAAAAUGAAAAUUAAUUUUUAUUGCACAUCCUCAAACAUUGAAUUCACCCAAUGUGUCAUUACUGUACAUUGAAUUUGAUAUAUUUUUUUAUGCAGUGGCACAUGGCUGAACCAGACAUGUUGGAUCCAAAAACUUUCAAAUAUGUAAAUUUCAGUUGUCCUGAAAAAUUAGUGUACAUACAAGAUAUACUUUCUGAAAAAUAAAUUUAAAAUAAAAUAAUUGUUCUUACCACUCACUAAAGUAUGUGUUCUUCCAAAUUUUUAAGUACAGCUAUUAAUAGGUGUGUAAGAACAUUUAAGCAUCCAAGGUAAAAGGCUGGGUUUAGUGCUUUGUGGUGAAUAUCACUAAUAGAUUACAAGACAAUCUGGGAACUGCGUAAUUACAGCAUAAUGUACGUUAGUAAUUACUGAUCAGAAAAGUGUAGCAGAAGCUGUCACCUUGCUGUAUAGUUAAUCAAAUAAUUUAUAUUUUUUCUUCUAUUUUCAUAUAGGUGUAGAUUUAAGUAUCAUGAGGGGUACAAAUAUCGAACUGUAUAUUCAUUAUGUAAUUGCUCAUCCUAGCAAAAUAAUUCUAAUUAUUAGAUAUGCAGUGUAGUAGCAUCAGUGUUAUUUACCUCAGUCAUGGGGUAUCAUCCAAGAUUUUGGUUCAUUCCAUUUGCAUUUCUUAUCCUUGCCUGCUUUGUCUUGCUCACACUAUUCUUGGUAUAUUUAGAAGUAGCAUUUAUGCAGCUCAUUCAUGGCUACAUCUUUAUUUUUAAAUAUAACAGUGACUUGCUGCAUUGAUCAUCCUUAUAAUGCUAUGUUCCCACACCACUUGACUUUGCCUCACAACGUUUACACUUCAUUCUCUUUUUUUAUUAGUCAUCAGCAUUCAGACCAGGUGUAAAAUUAAGAAUCUUGAUAAUUAUGAAAUAUAUGAUGAACUAAUGCCUGUCUAUACUUCAAGUGCAGUGUUGCACCUUUGAACUUUCCUUGCUGAUACUCCCCACAAAGUGGUAUGUGAACCAAAAGCCUACAGAUUCAGAACUGGAGAAAGUCUUGAAAAACCCAACUAUUUGGAAGUUAGGGUGUCGGUUUAGUGGUGUUUCAUUGUAUUUCCUUUUACAACAGUAUUAUCCCCUGGUAAAUUCCAUUGGUUUCCAGUCCUAUACUAAAGGUAAAUGACUUGGAGUAAUUUUUUUAAGAAACAGUCUCCUGAAAGUCAUUGUGGUCAAUAAAGUUUGUAUAAUAA